rnacentral:rRNA from 1 species
CCAAUAGCGUAUAUUAAAGUUGUUGCAGUUAAAAAGCUCGUAGUUGAAUUUCGGGGUUAGUAGGUUGGUCAUGCCUCUGGUAUGUACUGGUCUCACUGAUUCCUCCUUCCUGAUGAACCGUAAUGCCAUUAAUUUGGUGUUGCGGGGAAUUUGGACUGUUACUUUGAAAAAAUUAGAGUGUUUAAAGCAGGCUAACGCUUGAAUACAUUAGCAUGGAAUAAUGAAAUAGGACGUUCGAUCCUAUUUUGUUGGUUUCUAGGAUUGACGUAAUGAUUAAUAGGGAUAGUUGGGGGCAUUAGUAUUCAAUUGUCAGAGGUGAAAUUCUUGGAUUUAUUGAAGACUAACUACUGCGAAAGCAUUUGCCAAGGAUGUUUUCAUUAAUCAAGAACGAAAGUUAGGGGAUCGAAGACGAUCAGAUACCGUCGUAGUCUUAACCAUAAACUAUGCCGACUAGGGAUCGGAUGAUGUUAAUUUUUUAAUGACUCAUUCGGCACCUUACG